rnacentral:rRNA from 1 species
UUGACUCUUAAUAGGUCUUGGAAUAAGGGGGGGGUAAGACCGGUGCCAGCCGCCGCGGUAAUACCGGCCCCCCAAGUGGUCGUCACUUUUAUUGGGCCUAAAACGUCCGUAGCCGGUUUAGUAAACCCGUGGGUAAAUCAACCAGCUCAACUGGUUGAAUUCUGCGGAGACUGCUAGACUAGGGACCGGGAGAGGUACGAGGUACUCUUGGGGUAGGGGUAAAAUCCUGUCAUCCCAGGGGGACCACUUGUUGCGAAGGCGUCGUACUAGAACGGAUCCGACGGUCAGGGACGAAGCCUAGGGGCACGAACCGGAUUAGAUACCCGGGUAGUCCUAGGUGCAAACGCUGUGGACUUGGUGUUGGGGAUUCCAUGAGGGUUCCCAGUGCCGAAGCGAAGGUGUUAAGUCCACUGCCUGGGGAGUACGGUCGCAAGGCUGAAACUUAAAGGAAUUGGCGGGGGAGCACUGCAACGAGAGGAGCGUGCGGUUUAAUUGGAUUCAACGCCGGGAAUC